rnacentral:ncRNA from 1 species
UGGGUCUACCCGAAGACGGUGCGCCAACCUUUCGAGGGGGCAGCUGGCCACGGUAGGCUCAGCGACUGGGGUGAAGUCGUAACAAGGUAGCCGUAGGGGAACCUGCGGCUGGAUCACCUCCUUU